AGUUUGACCUGGCUCAGAACGAACGCUGGCGGCAGGCUUAAUACUUGCCACUCGGACGGCUGUAGCAAUACAGCAGUGGCAGACGGGUGAGUAACACGUGGGAACCUACCUAGGGGUACGGAAUAACUCAGGGAAACUUGUGCUAAUACCGUAUACGACCUCAGGGUGAAAGAUUUAUCGCCCCUAGAUGGGCCCGCGCUGGAUUAGCUAGUUGGUGGGGUAAAAGCCUACCAAGGCGACGAUCCAUAGCUGGUCUGAGAGGAUGAUCAGCCACACUGGGACUGAGACACGGCCCAAACUCCUACGGGAGGCAGCAGUAGGGAAUCUUGGACAAUGGGCGAAAGCCUGAUCCAGCCAUGCCGCGUGAGUGAUGAAGGCCUUAGGGUUGUAAAGCUCUUUCGCCAGGGAAGAUAAUGACGGUACCUGGAUAAGAAGCCCCGGCUAACUUCGUGCCAUCAGCCGCGGUAAUACGAAGGGGGCUAGCGUUGUUCGGAAUUACUGGGCGUAAAGCGCA
rnacentral:rRNA from 1 species